AGGGAAUUUUCGUCAAUGGGCGCAAGCCUGAACGAGCAAUGCCGCGUGAGCGAAGAAGGUCUUCGGAUCGUAAAACUCGGUUGCGGGGGAAACAGGAAGGGAAGAGGAAAUGCUUUUCUUUCGAUGGUACCCCGCCAGAAAGUCACGGCUAACUACGUGCCAGCAGCCGCGGUAAUACGUAGGUGGCAAGCGUUAUCCGGAAUGAUUGGGCGUAAAGGGUGCGCAGGCUGCGCGUCAAGUCUGAAGUGAAAGGUACGGGCUUAACCGGUACAGGCUUUGGAAACUGGCACGCUAGAGGACAGGAGAGGGCGGUGGAACUCCAUGUGUAGCGGUAAAAUGCGUAGAUAUAUGGAAGAACACCAGUUGCGAAGGCGACCGCCUGGACUGUUGCUGACGCUCAGGCACGAAAGCGUGGGGAGCAAAUAGG
rnacentral:rRNA from 1 species